GUCCACGCAGUAAACGAUGGGUACCAUCUUUUUGUCCGCAAGGAUGAGAGGAUCAUCGAAAGAGAUAAGUACCCCACCUGGGGAGUACGUGCGCAAGCAUGAAACUCAAAGGAAUUGACGGGGGCCCGCACAAGCGGUGGAGCAUGUGGUUUAAUUCGAUGAUACGCGAGGAACCUUACCGGGGUUUAAAUGGGAUCUGAAUAAUCUGGAAACAGGUUAGCCGCAAGGCAGAUUUCAAGGUGCUGCAUGGUUGUCGU
rnacentral:rRNA from 1 species